UACGAAGGGGGCUAGCGUUGUUCGGAAUUACUGGGCGUAAAGCGUGCGCAGGCGGUUUUGUAAGUCUGUCGUGAAAUCCCCGGGCUCAACCUGGGAAUGGCGAUGGAGACUGCAAGGCUGGAAUCUGGCAGAGGGGGGUAGAAUUCCACGUGUAGCAGUGAAAUGCGUAGAGAUGUGGAGGAACACCGAUGGCGAAGGCAGCCCCCUGGGCUAAGAUUGACGCUCAUGCGCGAAAGCGUGGGGAGCAAACAGA
rnacentral:rRNA from 1 species